rnacentral:rRNA from 1 species
CAUAUCAAUAAGCGGAGGAAAAGAAACCAACAGGGAUUGCCUUAGUAACGGCGAGUGAAGCGGCAACAGCUCAAAUUUGAAAUCUGGCCCUCGGGUCCGAAUUGUAAUUUGUAGAGGAUGAUUUUGGUGCGGUAUCUUCCGAGUUCCUUGGAACAGGACGCCUUAGAGGGUGAGAGCCCCGUACGGUUGAAUGCCUAGCCUCUGUAAAUCUCCUUCGACGAGUCGAGUAGUUUGGGAAUGCUGCUCUAAAUGGGAGGUAAAUUUCUUCUAAAGCUAAAUAUUGGCCAGAGACCGAUAGCGCACAAGUAGAGUGAUCGAAAGAUGAAAAGCACUUUGAAAAGAGGGUUAAAUAGCACGUGAAAUUGUUGAAAGGGAAGGAUUUGUGACCAGACUUUUUCUGGGCGGAUCAUCCGGGGUUCUCUCCGGUGCACUUUGCCCAGUAAAGGCCAGCAUCGAUUUUCGGCGGCGGAUAAAAGCAGUGGGAAUGUGGCUCCCUACGGGGAGUGUUAUAGCCCAUUGUAUAAUACGCUGCUGGGGAUCGAGGUACGCGCUUCUGCAAGGAUGCUGGCGUAAUGGUUAUCAAUCACCCGUCUUGAAACACGGACCAAGGAGUCGAACAUUUAUGCGAGUGUUUGGGUGUUAAACCCUCACGCGUAAUGAAAGUGAACGGAGGUGAGAGCCCGUACGGGUGCAUCAUCGACCGAUCCUGAAGUUUUCGGAUGGAUUUGAGUAAGAGCAUAACUGUUCGGACCCGAAAGAUGGUGAACUAUGCGUGGAUAGGGUGAAGCCAGAGGAAACUCUGGUGGAGGCUCGCAGCGGUUCUGACGUGCAAAUCGAUCGUCAAAUCUGCGCAUGGGGGCGAAAGACUAAUCGAACCAUCUAGUAGCUGGUUACC